CACGAGCAGAGCAGGGCGCUGG
rnacentral:miRNA from 1 species